AGUUUGAUCCUGGCUCAGGAUGAACGCUAGCGGCAGGCUUAACACAUGCAAGUCGAGGGGCAUCAGGAGGGAAGCUUGCUUUCCUUGCCGGCGACCGGCGCACAGGUGAGUAACACGUAUGCAACCUGCCCUCUUCACGGGGACAACCUUCCCAAAGGGAGGCUAAUCCCGCGUAUAUCGGUUUCGGGCAUCCGAGAUCGAGGAAAGAUUCAUCGGAAGAGGAUGGGCCUGCGGCGCAUUAGCUAGACGGCGGGGUAACGGCCCACCGUGGCGACGAUGCGUAGGGGUUCUGAGAGGAAGGUCCCCCACACUGGUACUGACACACCGACCAGACUCGUACGGGCGGCAGCAGUUAGUAAUCUUGGUCAAUGAGAUGAGAUCGUGAACCAGCCAAGCAGCGUGAGGGAAGUUGGCGCUUAUGAAUUUUAAACCUCUUUGAUGGGAGAACAAAACCCGUGAGACGAGUCCCGGAUUGCGUGUAUCCGAAGAAAAAGCAUGGGCUAACUCCGUGCCAGCAGCCGCGGUAAUACUGAGGAUGCGAGCGUUAUCCGGAUUUAUUGGGUUUAAAGGGUGCGUAGGCGGUCCGUUAAGUCAGAGGUAAAAUUGCGGGGCUCAACCCCGUAGAGCCGUUGAAACUGGCAGACUUGAGUUGGCGAGAAGUACGCGGAAUGCGCGGUGUAGCGGUGAAAUGCAUAGAUAUCGCGCAGAACUCCGAUUGCGAAGGCAGUGUACCGGUGCCAGACUGACGCUGAGGCACGAAAGCGUGGGGAUCGAACAGGAUUAGAUACCCUGGUAGUCCACGCAGUAAACGAUGAAUGCUGGU
rnacentral:rRNA from 1 species